rnacentral:rRNA from 1 species
GACGAACGCUGGCGGCGUGCUUAACACAUGCAAGUCGAACGGAAAGGCCCUGCUUUUGUGGGGUGCUCGAGUGGCGAACGGGUGAGUAACACGUGAGUAACCUGCCCUUGACUUUGGGAUAACUUCAGGAAACUGGGGCUACUACCGGAUAGGAGCUCCUGCUGCAUGGUGGGGGUUGGAAAGUUUCGGCGGUUGGGGAUGGACUCGCGGCUUAUCAGCUUGUUGGUGGGGUAGUGGCUUACCAAGUCUUUGACGGGUAGCCGGCCUGAGAGGGUGACCGGCCACAUUGGGACUGAGAUACGGCCCAGACUCCUACGGGAGGCAGCAGUGGGGAAUAUUGCACAAUGGGCGGAAGCCUGAUGCAGCAACGCCGCGUGCGGGAUGACGGCCUUCGGGUUGUAAACCGCUUUCGCCUGUGACGAAGCGUGAGUGACGGUAAUGGGUAAAGAAGCACCGGCUAACUACGUG